GCACAUGCAUGUGUUGUGUUGUGUUUCCUCCAUAAGAAAUUCUUUUCCUGGAUUUGUGAUCCCUGUGGAAUAUUAAGAACCUCUCCGAUUGAAUCUCAGGGAGGAACCGGAGGUAUGUUUGACAACUGUUUGAGAAGAAGGUCCCAAAUCCCUCUCUUAAAACCUUGGGAUUGUGCUUGAGACUCAGCCCCGAUGUGUUCCGUGGUAAUUCACUCACCUGGUUUACCCACACUGUAUGCUCCCCCUACCUGCCCCUACCUUGUCAUAAGUGCUGAGGAUUGAACCCAGGGCCUCGUUGCAUGUCAGGUGCUGGGAACAUUAAAAUCUUCAUGUCUCGGGGGACAAGAAAACUAAAAGUACUCAUUGUUCAGUAGCUACUGAGGCUGAUGAGAGGCGGGACUGUGGAUUCAUGUGACUGACGAUGACUGGUCUUCCUGGCCAUAUUGCUUUCUCUUUCUUUUAUCAAGUACAGACAUGGUGCCUGCCUGGAGUGGUGGUAUGAGUGUCUAAUCUCAACGAAACAACCAAGGCCACCUGUUCCCAUUUUUUUUUAUUGCUGUUGUUACAUGUGUAUAUGUGACAUAUGUGCAUGUAUGUUCAUGUGUUUGUGGGUACACAUUGUAUGCGGGUGUGUGUGGAUAUGUCUCUACGUGGCCAUUGAAGAAAUUAAAACAGGAAGACUCG
rnacentral:lncRNA from 1 species